rnacentral:rRNA from 1 species
UACGUAGGGGGCAAGCGUUGUCCGGAUUUAUUGGGCGUAAAGAGCGUGUAGGCGGCCAGGUAGGUCUGCUGUGAAAACUCGAGGCUCAACCUCGAGACGUCGGCGGAAACCAUCUGGCUAGAGUCCGGAAGAGGAGAGUGGAAUUCCUGGUGUAGAGGUGAAAUUCGUAGAUAUUCGCAAGAACACCGGUGGCGAAGGCGGUCUGCUGGGGUCGAACUGACGCUGAGGCGCGAAAGCAUGGGGAGCGAACAGG